GAUUAAUGUACCAUCGGCUUUCGGUACAACAGCGAAGGAGUGAAGACUACCUGAGUAUUGUUGUGCAAAUCUUUAGGCAUCGGCCCUAAUUUUUAUUGUUUUCUGUUAUUUGGUGAGUCCAUUUAACGCAUCCAGUUAUAUAUCAGUUUUUGUGGCUGGUAGUUUCCUCCUCUUGACCCUCUAACCUCAACCAUGGGGGACUCUUCGGGGGCGAGGGCCCCCCGACGGUUAGUGCAGCACAAGAAAAUGACAGUUUAUCCAAUGAUUCUCAAAAUCGUCCGUUGAACGCCAUUAUUUGUAACAUUUUGCCACCGGAUUGCAAAAAAACUGCUGAAGAUAUUUCCAGGCUCCAGUAUUUUGAUGUGCCCUCAGGUGAAGAGUUGUCAAAGUUAUCGGCAGAGAUCCAGAUUAUCAAGAAUCAGUUCGAGCAAGACGCUGAAAUCCUGCGGGAAGUUGCCAAAAUCUCCGCAAACAUAUGAAGGACAGUAAAUCGGAAAACAAAAUAUGAAAUCACCGACCAGGGGCCUUUUAUGGUGAUUCUGGAGGGGAUUACAAGUAAGGUGGGGAAUCUUCAUCCUAUGAACUUUGGGAAGUUACUUCAAGCGCAGAAAGUUCAAGGUAUAUUGAAAAUUUCUAGAAAAGGAGCCAAUAAAAUCGGUUUGGAGUUUAACACCUCUGAGUCUGCAAAUAAAUUUUUAUCUAAUGAAACCUAUUCGACAGCUGGUGGGUAUAAUAAGUAUAUACCUCAAAGACUAGUCACUUGCCGAGGGUUGGUGAGGGACAUUGGUGACUUAAUUGAUGAGGAUGAUUUUUACUCUGAGGCAGAAGCCAAGGUUAACAUCGGAAGAUCGCUAAAGCGCGUUAAGAUUGUUAAUGUUCGCAGACUAACUAAAAGGGUCAAAUGCCCAGGUGUUCUGCCUGGCACUUUUGGUUUCAAGACAGUUCCAUCUAAUGAUUAUAUAAUAACAUUUGACGGUAAAACUCUUCCAGAAUCAAUCAGUAUCUAUAAAAAUGAGUGUUCAAUCGAAAAAUAUGUUAGUCCUGUUGUCUUAUGUAUGAAUUGUUGCAGGUUUGGUCAUUGGAAAAACCAAUGUAAAAGCAAGGGUAGAUGUAGUUUCUGCGCUGGAGAUCAUCCAGUAUUUCAUUGUGAACUGAAAGAACAGUUUUAUAAGAAGAAACCAUGCCCGACAGACCACUUAAAUCAUGAAGGUAAAUGCAGCCUGGGUAAUUGCGAAAUAUCUCCAAAGCCAACUUGCAUCCAUUGUAAAGGCUCUCAUCAGGCCACUGAUAGAUCAUGUCCGGAAAUGGACAGACAGAAGAAAAUCAAUGAGGCUAUGGCAUGGUACAACUUGUCCUUUUUUGAAGCGGCCAAACUCUUUCCAAGAGGCCCCAAAUCAAGUGAGUUUAAUCGCUCUAAUGAAAAUUUCCCUCCUAUUCAUAACACGGUUGCCCCCGUCUCUCAGCCUUCCCCUAGAUCUGCUUCUAAAACUUAUUCUGUCAUAGCAAAAAAGCGUAAGUCCCCCCAAAUAGAAUCAGGGUAUGAUAGGGACGCCCACAGGGAUUGUCUCGUGCCGCCGUUGACUAGGCAGAAGUUGAAUCACACUAGCAAAAGUCAAUCUUCUCCCUCAUAUUUAAAUGAUUUAUCGUCAGAGUCCGAGAUGGACACUGCUUCUCCAGGGGUUUCCUCCUCUGGUGAAUUUUGGUAUCGGUUUGAAAAUUAAAGAAAAAAGUCUUGUCCAAUAUACCCAGUAAAAGUGCUCACCAUGAAAUUGAGAGUCUUUUUGACUCCCUGCCUCCUCCCGGAGGAUGCAGGUUUUAAUUUAUUAAUGUUCCCAGAUCGACAGUCAAAUCUUUCUGUUAAAAUUAGUAAUUUCUCAAUUAUUCAUUGGAACACUUGCGGUAUUAGAAGUAAUUGUGAUAGUAUUAUUAGACUUAUUCGUGACUUUGGUCCGGAUAUAGUCAUGAUUAAUGAAUCUUUUUUACUCCCAUGGGAAGAGACAUUUAUAUUUACCGAUGCCUCUAAGGGACCAGAUGAUAGAGUUGGCUUUGGAGUAUUUAUUCCGUUUCUCAAUGUUAGGGUCGGGCAUGGGUUGAAUAGCGCGUUUUGUAUUUGCUCUGCAGAAAUGGUAGCUAUUAGUUACGCCCUAGAUCUUAUAUUAGAUUAUAAUAUUAAACAGGCAGUAGUUGUGUCCGAUUCCAAAAGUGCCCUGCAGAGCUUCGGAUGCAGUGCGGUUGAAGCUUCCAACAGCUACAUUCUACUAGAUAUUAAAGCAAAGAUUGAUAUUUUAAAGCGCAGACUUGGGGGGAAAAUCCGAAAAAUCGACAUUUAGAACUUCUGAGAUUAGUCUCCUUCGCUGGAGAAGAUCCGAAAAUCCUCGACAUUUGGAACUUUAAAGUUUAGUCUCCUUCGCUGGAGAAGAUCUGACAAUCCUCGACAUUUGGAACUUCAAAAAUCAGUCUUCUUCGCCAGAGAAGAUACGAAAAUCCUCGACAUUUAGAACUUCAAAAUUCUGUCUCCUUCCUGGAGAAGAUCCGAGAAUCCUCGACGGAAGUCGGCAAUGGGCGAAUGAUCCUGGUAGUCGUGCCCAACAGUUAUCUGUGAACGCAUCAUUGAAUUGAAUGUACCAUCGGUCACUGAUCUUCGUUUUGUCGUAGCCAGAGAGAAAACUUUCGCUCUAUGACAUUUAUUUGUAAACUUAUUCUUUGAUCUCAUAUUUCGAAAUUAAGGAAAUUCUGGGCUGCUCAAAGGAAAUAGGUUUUACUUGAGUUAGCUAUGUUGUGCAUUAAUCCUGCUAGAACAUGGCUAUGCUUUAAUUUUAGCGUACUUAAACAUAUUUCACCAGAAUUCGCCCAUGCCAAGACACUUCCUAUAUACCACAGCAAAAUGAAACCGUUUUCACUGUAUAUAUUUUAGGCGUUUUGAGAAUCGAGAAUUUUUGCAUAAAUAUGAGGUUUUACUAGUAAAUUAUGGAAAUGCUAGAAUUUAGUAGUCGUUUGGAUGGUGAAGGCGAUGUGAGCAACACCACUGUUGUCUAAUUAUAAUGAUUUAACCUAAAACAAACCUCCCCUAUGGUUUGUUUAGAAGAUGUAGGUAAAAUUAAACAAAUUCGGUCUUCAUGUUUGGCUUGUUUUUCAGCGGGAAUGCAUGAAUGGACUCGAUCCUGUAUUAUCUUAUAUAUGGAGUCAAAGCAGCCAGAAUUUCUAAUGGAAUUUGAAGCAGUUGAAAGCAGGCUAUCUGUAUUAGCUAUUUAUACGAAACUCGUGGAAACGGGGUAAUUUUGAACAAAAUAUGAGUUUCUAGUUGUUAAAGCUCUAUGAAUAGAAAACCAGUUGCUGUUUUUCUCAAGUUUCAUAUAGUUGCAAGGAUGACAUAUUUUGGGUGCUGUCACAUAAUGGCACCAGUAUUUGAUGCUGCUAGGAGGGAAUUUUAAAGUACAACCUUUUGGCAUUCGAAUUGACUUGGUUAUCUUGUUGAGCUUUGGUUAUGUGAAUACCAAGUUCGCAAUGAAGAAAUUGGAAGGCUAUUUGAACAGAUGGGUCAUUUUCAACUUUGAUAUUGCAGUAAUAACAUCGAUUUCUAUGACAGGAAAGGGCUGUAAAUGAACGUCGGAAUUUCAAGGAAACCCACCUGAUAAUUAUAGUUGCUAGCCUGUAAAUAAACGGAUUUAAAAUACAUAUUACUUGAUUAUUUUGAAACAUUUGAUUAGGAAUACCUUUGUUGAAUUCUUCAUAAUUCGACAAAUAUUUUUUAUAUGCAGGUGUAAUAUAUUUUUUUGUUUAUUCUCGAUCGUAAAAAUUUAUAAUCAUCCAAACAUUGGCAUAACCAUGUUUUUUUAUAUAAUUUCAAAUUUCGAACCUUAGAUUUUUUAUAUCAUGCCUUCUUGAUUAUCAAAUAUCGGGACAAUUGAAAUCGCUUUCAAUUCAUAUAUGGUGUUCCAACAAAAAUUAUUUUGACAUUUAAGCGUAAGGUUGCCAUUGGCAAAUAUUUUUUAAAAUUUUCAAAGAAAAUUUCACAGGCUACGGUAAUACUAUAUACAAAUCUUCUGGAUUCCUCACCUAAUUUUGUUAUUUUAAAUGGUAUGCCCUAUUUAUUUUGGUUGCAAUGAAUUGUCGGAUUUGUUUCUAAUUAAUUACUGAGCUCCGGCAACACCGCUUUUUCAGUAAAAUGUGCCGGAACCCUGAAAUAUCUCCAAAACAGCCAAAUCUGAAAGGAUACAUUUCAACAUCUUAGGUCACCUAGUCAGAUUUACCACCGUUAAUAAAAAAUUAUUAACUUCUUAGAAGUGUUUCAACGGAAGGUUAUCAGAAUUAUAAAUCAGUGCGAAAUCUGACAGCAUUGCAUGUCUGAAAAUCAGCAAGUAUUGAAUUUUAUUGUUCCAGGUCACUCAGUCACAGAAAAAACGUAAAAUUAAAAAAAAACACAUUUGCUCAAAAUUAAAUAUGAUUAAUAAAUCAAUAAGACGUUAUAUGAUUCCACAAUGUCUUCUUGAAACUAACGUGCAUGAUAAUUUUUAUUAUUUAUUCUUAUUAAAGCGAAAGUAAUGUAAAUGUUUAAAAGAACAAUUUAAACAGAUAUAGAUAUGGAUUUAAAACAAAGAGGCCAUCAUUGUAUUUUGUUUCUGUCAACGCUAUCCUUAAACGUGCACUAUUAAUGUAAUAUGUUUUCUUACAAAAUAUAAUUACAUUGAAUAAAACGAACAGAUUGUUUUCAAUCAUACCUAAUUGCCUUCACUCAGGUUUUGGUAUAAAAUGAAAGAAAAUUCUUAACAAUGUUUAGGUGUGAUCUUUCAUCUUCAUCGUUGCACUGUUUUGUGAUGCUUAAUUUUAUUCAGUGCAUAUGUGAUAUACAAGGUGUUUUCUAAUUGAAUGUCAAUAAUUUGGGCGGCGAUUUUUGGGUGAAUUUUAAAAAGAAAACUUAGUAUGAACAUAUGUCCUAAGCGUCUUAACUUUUGAGAUACAGGGUGGUAAAGUUUUCAAAAAUAAAAUAUAUUUUUUUAAUAUCUUUAGAUAUUUUAAUAACAUUUCUCACACAUGCACUAUUUAUUUAGUGUACCACAAUUUUUUAAAAAUAUAUCAGUGGCGGAAUUACACUGAUUUUUCUUAAAAUAAAAAUUAUAAAUAAAAUAAAUAAAAAUAAAAAAAUCAUAAAAAUAAAGAAAUGUAAUCCGAUGUACGGUUCUCGCUUUAAAAAAAUAAAAACCUCUUCUCUGCACGAUCAUAGCAAUAUCGUUAGUAUGACAGCAGAGAGAAUUAUUAUCAUUACUAUUUCUUACUUAAGUAAUUGUCUAUAUGUAGAAGACCUGAAGGAUCGUAUAAGAACUGCCUGUGAUUUAAUAAUAAACACUGGAGGUAUACUUCAAAGAGUGCGUGGCAAUAUUGGGAAAAGAUCUAAAGCGUGUGAGCCUUACGGCGAGGUACACUUUCAGCAACUCAUCUAUUUUCUAUGUUUGACUUCUUUUCAAAAAAGCUGUUAUUAAUUUAUUAACAGACAAUUUUCUAAAAAAAUAUUAAUACUAAGUAAGUAUAUUAAAUAAUAAAUAAGAAUAGAUUUAUAUUUUAUAUUUCAUAAUCCCGAUUUAUCCAGUGCAGUGGCGACGUAAUUAAUCAAAAUAAUUGUUCUGAUCUCGUAAUUUUUUUUUUUGGUCCGUCGCACGGUUUUUACUUUCAAGAAAUUAAAUUUGUUUAGAAAGCAUUGGAGAUUGUAAAAAUUAUUUUUAUUUUAAGAGGGGUCAGGGCUUGCUAUCAAUUUCUGCCCAAAUAGACAGAUGGAAUUACGUAGGACCGCCACUGGUGUAUUUAAAAAAAAAGUGGUACACUAAAUAAUACCCCUUGAUACAUAGUACAUGGGUGUCAAAUUUCAUUAAACCAACUAUAGUGGUAUGACAGAUAUUAAAAAAAUAUAUUAUUUUUGAAAACUUAACCGCCCUGUAUCUCAAAAGUUAAGACAUAUGUUCAUAUGAAGAUUUCUUUUUAAAAAUGGACCAGAAAUUCGCCGCCCAAAUUUAUUAUUAUUGUUUAUAAUUAUUAUUACAAUGAAUAAAGUGCUGAGGAGAACCUAUUAUGCACAUUGAUAGUAGAAUGUUAUACAUAUAAUAAAUAUUUAGUUAUUGCUAUGAAACAAUAUACUGUCCAAGCGACAUUUAAAUACAGACAAGUUUGGCGCACACACAUCUGGGGAUAAACUGUUCGAAUAAUCGAAAGUCUUGUUACUUAUAAAAUGCAGGCGAUGCGAAGUCCUGAUUUGUUCCUUU